CUAGUAUUUAAUUGAUUCAAAGUAGAAUUCAUUGUCAUAAAGGAUACGAGGGGCUUUUUUACAUGUUGGCUAUCGACUACCUAACACAACCCUCCCCCUUUACCCGGGCUUGGGACCGGUGGAAUUGUUAACCACCCCGGCAGAGUUUUAUGUAUGUAUAUAUAUGUAUAUAAUAAAAAAUAAAAGGAAGAAACAAAGAAAGAAAGGACAUAAAAGCAUUUGUUGUACUUUCAAAAAUGGGACUGAGAUGAAAUAAGAAAUCUCCUUGAUCAACAGAAAUGACAAGGCAUUGAUGGCAUUUUUAAGGAUUACUUCUAUCAAUGUGGAUCACUAAUUUGCAUUCUUGUAGAGGUUAUGGAAGGAUUGGAAAAGCCACCUAGAAAGAAUAACAGCUAAUUGCCACAAAUAUAUUUUGACAUGACCUCCUUUAAAGCAUAUAUACUUCAAAAUCAAUUUUGUAUCUGUUUCAUUAGUAAUGGCAGAAUGCCACCUACUUCAAAGCUGAAACAGGUAAUCCGUGACACUUGUCCUCUCAAGUGCCUCACCAGUUAGCAUGACCAGCCAUGUACCCUUCCAUAAAUGCUAUUUCACUUUAACACCAUGCGCAUGGCACAAGCAAUCAUUUUCCAAAGCAAAGAGCCAGAGGACCUAAGAUAUAGUUGUUUCACUUAGAAUGCUUGGUCUUCCAGUCUCCAGAUAUUCGAAAACAAAUGGGGCCAAAAAGUUCCAUUUUUUUUCUAGAACAAAAUGGUGUGCAAUAAACAAUAAUAGAGAACAUAUAUACACACACAUAUAUAGAUACUAAUUUCUAGAACUUGUUUUGGUAAUCAAGGAAAUGGUAUUGAUUUGCUGCCCAAAUGUUGAAUGGAGGAUGGAAAAAAAAAAAGAGCUCCAUCGAAUCAAAUUGGCCAAAUGUCUACCUUCAUGAGCCCUCAAGGCCUGCUUCUCAUCCUUACUCACUGUCAAGGUCAAGGGGCAGGCACAGAUUAUGAUAAAAAAAGAUGGGGAAGAGAGCUUUAUGAUGUUUGUGAAUUGUAAAUUCUAGGACAUGCUCUACCCUUAGUGUACCCCCUCAAAUCACCUGGUCUUUCCUAAAUGAACUUUAAUCACUUAUUUAGAGGAAUCACUUGAACAAGAUAAGAUAUGCAUAGAAAACUGCUUUUGUAAUCUGUAAGAAAAUUGUAAACAAAGGUACAAGUAUAAUGACCAUCAAAAACCAUGGUUCCUCAAUUUGGUCUUGAAACACCAUUGCACUAUCACUACACAAUCAAAGUCAAAGAUAGAAGAGAAUAACUUCAAUAUCUAUUCAAGAUUCUUUAGCGUUUUUAAUUGCAAAAAGUUUGUAUUAUUUUUAGCAAGUGUGUCCCAAUGGUACAACAUCUAUUGAAUGCAAUGCAAGCUGAUAUCGGGCAUAGGUAGAUGACAUCGAUAUUGCAGAGAAUAAACAAUGCACUGCUGUAUUAGUAGUUCAAGACUACCUAAUAUCCCAGCAUUAAGCAAGUGAAGUUGUUUUGUUAGAUAAAGCUGUAAAUCACUCAAGCUCCCAAUUAGGUUUAAAACAGGACUCAACGUUACCAAGUAAUGUUAAAUAAUUUUAUUAGACAUAAGACUUAUAUACACCAAAAGGUUACCUGUCCGUCUGUAUAGCAGAUAUGAGAGCAUUAUCAGAUGGUGGAAGAAACUUCGAUAUAAUUGCAGCAUAGAAGAAACCCACAAAGAAAACAGAGCCAAAUAUGAAUUAAAAUGGCUUCUUCUUCGGAGAUGGACAUUGAAAUUCAUGACCAUGGUAGAAGGCUUCGAAGGAUGGAAAAAAAUUUCAAGGCGAUGAUUUAUGUGAUCCCUAAUGUUUAUAUUUUGGUGUCCUUUAGAACCCCUUGUUUUUGUCUUCCAAUAUAAAACCUUUUAUAUGAGCACUAUACUUGAUAAGAUAUUUUUUACUUUCAUUUCAUUCUAUAGUGUAAUAAAAAAAAUCACCCAUUUAUGAACA